rnacentral:rRNA from 1 species
GAUGAACGCUGGCGGCGUGCUUAACACAUGCAAGUCGAACGAUGAAGCCCAGCUUGCUGGGUGGAUUAGUGGCGAACGGGUGAGUAACACGUGAGUAACCUGCCCUUAACUCUGGGAUAAGCCUGGGAAACUGGGUCUAAUACCGGAUAGGAGCGUCCACCGCAUGGUGGGUGUUGGAAAGAUUUAUCGGUUUUGGAUGGACUCGCGGCCUAUCAGCUUGUUGGUGAGGUAAUGGCUCACCAAGGCGACGACGGGUAGCCGGCCUGAGAGGGUGACCGGCCACACUGGGACUGAGACACGGCCCAGACUCCUACGGGAGGCAGCAGUGGGGAAUAUUGCACAAUGGGCGCAAGCCUGAUGCAGCGACGCCGCGUGAGGGAUGACGGCCUUCGGGUUGUAAACCUCUUUCAGUAGGGAAGAAGCGAAAGUGACGGUACCUGCAGAAGAAGCACCGGCUAACUACGUGCCAGCAGCCGCGGUAAUACGUAGGGUGCGAGCGUUAUCCGGAAUUAUUGGGCGUAAAGAGCUCGUAGCGGUUUGUCGCGUCUGUCGUGAAAGUCCGGGGCUUAACCCCGGAUCUGCGGUGGGUACGGGCAGACUAGAGUGCAGUAGGGGAGACUGGAAUUCCUGGUGUAGCGGUGGAAUGCGCAGAUAUCAGGAGGAACACCGAUGGCGAAGGCAGGUCUCUGGGCUGUAACUGACGCUGAGGAGCGAAAGCAUGGGGAGCGAACAGGAUUAGAUACCCUGGUAGUCCAUGCCGUAAACGUUGGGCACUAGGUGUGGGGACCAUUCCACGGUUUCCGCGCCGCAGCUAACGCAUUAAGUGCCCCGCCUGGGGAGUACGGCCGCAAGGCUAAAACUCAAAGGAAUUGACGGGGGCCCGCACAAGCGGCGGAGCAUGCGGAUUAAUUCGAUGCAACGCGAAGAACCUUACCAAGGCUUGACAUGUUCUCGAUCGCCGUAGAGAUACGGUUUCCCCUUUGGGGCGGGUUCACAGGUGGUGCAUGGUUGUCGUCAGCUCGUGUCGUGAGAUGUUGGGUUAAGUCCCGCAACGAGCGCAACCCUCGUUCCAUGUUGCCAGCACGUCGUGGUGGGGACUCAUGGGAGACUGCCGGGGUCAACUCGGAGGAAGGUGAGGACGACGUCAAAUCAUCAUGCCCCUUAUGUCUUGGGCUUCACGCAUGCUACAAUGGCCGGUACAAUGGGUUGCGAUACUGUGAGGUGGAGCUAAUCCCAAAAAGCCGGUCUCAGUUCGGAUUGGGGUCUGCAACUCGACCCCAUGAAGUCGGAGUCGCUAGUAAUCGCAGAUCAGCAACGCUGCGGUGAAUACGUUCCCGGGCCU